AGAUUUGCACAAUUAAUCGUAGCCAAUGAGGUUUAUCUGAGGUGCGAUUAUUGCUAAUUAAAAACUUUACUUUUAUAAACUAUUAGAAUGGUAGAAACACCACCUACUUUAAUUGUUUAAUAUGUACCUGAGUAU
rfam:Canis lupus familiaris chromosome 29, whole genome shotgun sequence.